AGUGAACGCUGGCGGUAGGCCUAACACAUGCAAGUCGAACGGCAGCACAGUAAGAGCUUGCUCUUACGGGUGGCGAGUGGCGGACGGGCGAGGAAUACAUCGGAAUCUACUUUUUCGUGGGGGAUAACGUAGGGAAACUUACGCUAAUACCGCAUACGACCUACGGGUGAAAGCAGGGGAUCUUCGGACCUUGCGCGAUUGAAUGAGCCGAUGUCGGAUUAGCUAGUUGGCGGGGUAAAGGCCCACCAAGGCGACGAUCCGUAGCUGGUCUGACAGGAUGAUCAGCCACACUGGAACUGAGACACGGUCCAGACUCCUACGGGAGGCAGCAGUGGGGAAUAUUGGACAAUGGGCGCAAGCCUGAUCCAGCCAUACCGCGUGGGUGAAGAAGGCCUUCGGGUUGUAAAGCCCUUUUGUUGGGAAAGAAAAGCAGCAGGUUAAUACCCCGCUGUUCUGACGGUACCCAAAGAAUAAGCACCGGCUAACUUCGUG
rnacentral:rRNA from 1 species